UUUCAUUAAGUAUUUAACAAACAAAUGGCUUCUACCGCGAUAAUUAUGUGAAAUUAAAUUCACAUAAUUAUCGUGUAAUUAUCACAUAAUUAUAACUAAUGUGUCUGCUAUUUAUCCUGUUGUUCCUCCAGGCUGGGAAAACCAGGCAUUCUUCUGUUGGUUCAUGUGCUUCGUCCUACAUCCAAAGGCCACAAGAAGAAUUAAAAACGGCUCAUGUCAAACUGUGGACCACAGUUUGUCGGAUAUGUGCAGUGUUGAAGCCUUCGUCAUUGCCGUGCAACCAGGACAGCCCUUCCUCCUGCAUGUUGGUGAAAACAAGAGCAGCACCAAAGACACUGCACCAUCAGUGAUCACAGGAUCAUCCAAGGACUUGGUUUAUUACAGUCCCUGUGGCAAGCAGUUUUCUGCAUGGUCAGUAUUGAAGGCCAUAUUGUCUAUGAGAGGGUCCAGCCAACAUUCCAGACAGGACAGUGUUGUCCAUCUUCUUCAUCUUCAGCCUCCAAUAUCAACAUGAGGCAGCCAAGACUUUGGAGUUCAUUCAACGUCGCUUCAUUGGGAUUAACCCAGAAAGGGGCACAAAAGCCGGUCAUGGGAAGAUGGUAUCCA